rnacentral:rRNA from 1 species
UGCUUAAUGAAUAACAUAUUAAGUAAUCUCCUGCCCAGUGAAUAUUUCAACGGCCGCGGUAUCCUAACCGUGCAAAGGUAGCAUAAUAAUUUGCCCAUUAAUUGUGGGCUAGAAUGAAUGGGGUAAUGAAAUAAGUACUGUCUCAAUAAAUACAAUAUAAACUAUUAUCCAAGUGAAGAAACUUAGAUUCAAUUAAAGGACAAGAAGACCCUAUAGAGCUUUAUUUAUAUUAAUGUAAAAUACACUAAUAAAUUCGGUUGGGGCGACCAAGGAAAAAUCAUCCUUAAUAUAUAAGAUUUACAAAUCUGACUCAAGAUCCUUUAUAAGAUCAAAGAAUCAAGCUACCUUAGGGAUAACAGACUAAUCCUAUUUUAGAGUUCUUAUCGACAAUAGGGAUUGGCACCUCGAUGUUGGCUUAGAAUAUCUUUAUGGCGCAGAAGUCAUAAAAAGAAGGUUUGUUCAACCUAUAAUUUUCU